AAGUAUCUCUUUUAUAGAUGAAGAGACUAAAGCUGUGAGAGGAAGAGUGACUUGUCCAGAGUCAUCCAUUUAGCAAGUGACAGAGAUGACUUCAAACAUGGGCUUUGGGAGCCAAAACUUGUGCUUUUCCUGCUAUAUGACAGCUGCCUCCAAGAAACCACAGAAGCUUUGGAGAUUUGGAAAGAGACUAUCACAGACAUUUGAUCACUAUACACGAGUCAUGUCUGAGGCAGACUGGGUGAUGGAUGCCUUCCUUAUAUACCCCAACUGAGAGUACUCUUCAUGUUGCAGCCUUGCAUGGAAGAUUGUGAUCCUUAUUUUAGGGACUCACACUGGAGAAAGAAAUGGCCAAGAUACUUCGGUAUCUUUGCCAAGAAAAUCCCCAAUGGGAUCAUGAAGAAUCAGAGAGGAUGGAGAUGCCUGAACAACAGCACAGACUAGAAACAAGGUGAGUGUCUGUCUGUGGGAGAAUGCCCACAAUAAGUGGUCAACAUCACCAGAAGCACCACUCGAGUCACAAAGGGCUCUGCAUUGUCCACCCUUUUGCUAUUCCCUUCAGUGAGCUCGUUCUUUUUCAUUUCUGCG
rnacentral:lncRNA from 1 species